GACGGAGGAUGCAAGCGUUAUCCGGAAUUAUUGGGCGUAAAGCGUCCGCAGGUGGACAUACAAGUCUGCUGUCAAAGUGCAGAGCUUAACUCUGUAAAGGCGGUGGAAACUGUAGGUCUUGAGUAUGGUAGGGGUAGAGGGAAUUCCCGGUGUAGCGGUGAAAUGCGUAGAUAUCGGGAAGAACACCAGUGGCGAAAGCGCUCUACUGGGCCGUAACUGACACUGAGGGACGAAAGCUAGGGGAGCGAAAGGG
rnacentral:rRNA from 1 species